AUUGAACGCUGGCGGCAUGCUUUACACAUGCAAGUCGAACGGCAGCACGGGGGCAACCCUGGUGGCGAGUGGCGAACGGGUGAGUAAUGCAUCGGAACGUGCCCAGUAGUGGGGGAUAACCAGUCGAAAGACUGGCUAAUACCGCAUACGACCUAAGGGUGAAAGCGGGGGACCGUAAGGCCUCGCGCUAUUGGAGCGGCCGAUGUCUGAUUAGCUAGUUGGCGGGGUAAGAGCCCACCAAGGCGACGAUCAGUAGCUGGUCUGAGAGGACGACCAGCCACACUGGGACUGAGACACGGCCCAGACUCCUACGGGAGGCAGCAGUGGGGAAUUUUGGACAAUGGGCGCAAGCCUGAUUCAGCCAUGCCGCGUGCGGGAAGAAGGCCUUCGGGUUGUAAACCGCUUUUGGCAGGAACGAAACGGCGCAAGCCAAUACCUUGCGCUAAUGACGGUACCUGCAGAAUAAGCACCGGCUAACUACGUGCCAGCCGCCGCCGUAAAAC
rnacentral:rRNA from 1 species